rnacentral:rRNA from 1 species
CCUACGGGUGGCAGCAGUGGGGGAUAUUGCACAAUGGGGGAAACCCUGAUGCAGCGACGCCGCGUGGGCGAAGAAGUAUUUCGGUAUGUAAAGCCCUAUCAGCAGGGAAGAAGAAAUGACGGUACCUGAGUAAGAAGCACCGGCUAAAUACGUGCCAGCAGCCGCGGUAAUACGUAUGGUGCAAGCGUUAUCCGGAUUUACUGGGGGUAAAGGGAGGGCAGGCGGCAGGGCAAGCCUGAUGUGAAAGCCCGGGGCCCAACCGCGGGACUGCAUUGGAAACUACCGGGCUGGAGUGCCGGAGAGGUAGGCGGAAUUCCUAGUGUAGCGGUGGAAUGCGUAGAUAUUAGGAGGAACACCGGUGGCGAAGGCGGCCUGCUGGACUGCGACUGACGUUGAGGCCCGAAAGCGUGGGGAGCAAACAGGAUUAGAUACCCUUGUAGUC